rnacentral:rRNA from 1 species
UACGUAGGGGGCAAGCGUUGUCCGGAAUGACUGGGCGUAAAGGGAGUGUAGGCGGCCUUGCAAGUUAGAUGUGAAAUCCUACGGCUUAACCGUAGAACUGCAUCUAAAACUGUGAGGCUGGAGUGCAGGAGAGGUGAGUGGAAUUCGUGGUGUAGCGGUGAAAUGCUUAGAUAUCACGAAGAACUCCGAUUGCGAAGGCAGCCUGCUGGACUGUAACUGACGCUGAUGCUCGAAAGUGUGGGUAUCAAACAGG